rfam:Schistosoma mansoni strain Puerto Rico chromosome 3, complete genome
AUCCAGCUGACGAGUUUCAAAUAGGACGAAACGCGCAUCCUAGAU